rnacentral:rRNA from 1 species
CUGUCCCUACGGGGCGCAGCAGUGAGGAAUAUUGGUCAAUGGGCGAGAGCCUGAACCAGCCAAGUAGCGUGAAGGAUGACUGCCCUAUGGGUUGUAAACUUCUUUUAUAUGGGAAUAAAGUUUUCCACGUGUGGAAUUUUGUAUGUACCAUAUGAAUAAGGAUCGGCUAACUCCGUGCUAGCAGCCGCGGUAAUACGGAGGAUCCGAGCGUUAUCCGGUUUUAUUGGGUUUAAAGGGAGCGUAGGUGGCUUGUUAAGUCAGUUGUGAAAGUUUGCGGCUCAACCGUAAAAUUGCAGUUGUAACUU